rnacentral:rRNA from 1 species
GAUGAACGCUGGCGGCGUGCCUAAUACAUGCAAGUCGAGCGAACAGACGAGGCGCUUGUUCCUCUGUCGUUAGCGGCGGAGGGGUGAGUAACACGUGGAUAACCUACCUAUAAGACUGGGAUAACUUCGAAAAACCGGCUAAAAUCCCGGAGAAUCUAUUGAUCCGCAUGGGUCAAUGGUAAGAGUCGGCUUUGCUGUCUCUUCUAGCUGGAUCCGCGCCGCUUUAGCUAGUUGGUAAGGUACCGGAUUAUCAAGGCGACGAUGCGUAGCCGAACGGCCUGGCUGAUAGGCCACACUGGAACGGAGACACGGUCCAGAGUCCUAAGGGAGGGAGCAGUAGGGAACGGUCAGCAAUAGUCGAAAGCCUGGCAGAGCAACGCCGAGUCAGUGAUGACGGUCUUCGGAGCGUAAAGAUCGGUUAUUAGUGAAGAACAAAUUUGGAAGGAACCAUGCACGUCGUGACGGUACUUGAUCAGAAAGCAACGGCUAACUACGUG